rnacentral:lncRNA from 1 species
UUCCAGAUUCCCAGAAGGUGUGUGAGUGUGUGUCAGAGCGGGGCUGGGGGUCAUCCACAGAUCAGAGCACAGGCAUAGAGAGAGAGCUUCUGAGGAUAGGAUCACCUGUUGGUCACAUCCUACACCCUGAAGCCUGAGGACCUGUCACUUGGACCCACCGCCAGCCAAAGCAGCAUCAGUCACUGGCCAGAGGAGCACAGAAGUCACAGGAGUGCUCACAAUGUCCGGUGUCCUGGAGAAGCUCUGGAAUAAAUACACCUGGGCCUUUGAAAACGGAGACCUGAGGACAGAGUCCCGGUUCCUGAUACACUUGCCACUCCCUGUCCCCCUUCUUUUUAUCUUCUAUCUUCUGGUGGUGGCAAGUCCUCACUUCAUGUCUGGAUGGGAGCCCCUGAAGUUGGCAAGACCCCUUGUCGUCUAUAACCCAAGCCUGGUGGCUCUCUCAGGGACCUAUCCUGUGAGCCUUCUUCAUCAAGAUGCUGAAGCUUUGGUCCAUGUCUUCACAUAUCUGUACCAUGGACUGACCAGUCCGUGGCCCUGUGUGAAGCUCUACCUGUGGUGGAAGUGACAUUUAACCAUCCUUCAGCAGGGUCAGUUUGUGGCCACUGCUGCCCACUCCUCCUACAAUCUCUUCACUGAGUGCUCCUUCCCUGAUGGGCUUGACACGGUGGGCCUCCUGUCCACCUUCAGUGUCAUCGGCCUUUUCCUCAAUUGCUACCACCAGACACACCUGAGGAGCAAGCGGGAGAAACUGACUUAAGGCGCAGGACCCAAGGACUGGAGCUAGCAGAGCUGUCUCCACAGAGAGUUGGCAGAAGACAUCAUGGGCCAUAGCCUACCUGUCCUGAGAAGAUACCUCGCAGAUACCUUUUCUGGGCUUGCAUUUCAUUUUGUGAAGGAUGGAGGAGAAUUGCCUUUUUUCCCCCAGAGUUCAGGAGGAUAGAAAUGGACCAAAUUUCCUGCAUUCACUUCUGUUACAGCACUUCUCCAUGAAUUUGUAACUGUUUGUACUUCUCCUUCCUUUACUGGAUAUGAGCCCUCACAGGGGAGACUGCCUUAUUCCAAUGUUCCCCACACCUGUCACAGCACAUCAAUGAAUGUGCAUUUGGAUCCUGGUAACCCGCCACUGGCAGUCAUAACCUCUGGUGAAGAUCAGGGCUGGCAACAUGCCAGAAGUCAAGGCUGGCUUGAUAGCUCACCUUGCAGUGGGAAAUGAUGAUAAGAAUAUCCAAGAGUGAGUGUGGGUCUGUUUGGUUUCUAGCGUGGCUAUGUGAACAUUUGCCCCUGCAUCUCUUCUAGUCUGUUGACUACCACCUACACUUGUAGUUAUGUAGUUGUAUGAUUCUCUGUGUGUGAAAGGGCUGAUGGAGAUGGCUAUGGGUAUACGUCUAAAUAUUUGUCUUCAAAUAUACAUGCACGAUCCCUUUGAGUUUCUCUCCGUGUUGUUUGCUUGUCUCUUCUAUAAGUCUCUGUAAGUGCCACAUGGUAAUAAAGGCCAACUGGGA